rnacentral:rRNA from 1 species
UUCGAACUAGACCUCAAUUUGAGCAAGAUUACCC